rnacentral:rRNA from 1 species
GACGAACGCUGGCGGCGUGCUUAACACAUGCAAGUCGAACGGAAAGGCCCUGCUUUUGUGGGGUGCUCGAGUGGCGAACGGGUGAGUAACACGUGAGUAACCUGCCCUUGACUUUGGUAUAACUUCAGGAAACUGGGGCUAAUCCCGGAUAGGAGCUCCUGCUGCAUGGUGGGGGUUGGAAAGUUUCGGCUGUUGGGGAUGGACUCGCGGCUUAUCAGCUUGUUGGUGGGGUAGUGGCUUACCAGGGCUUUGACGGGUAGCCGGCCUGGGAGGGUGACCGGCCACAUUGGGACGGAGAUACGGCCCAGACUCCUAGGGGAGGCAGCAGUGGGGAAUAUUGCACAAGGGGCGGAAGCCUGAUGCAGCAACGCCGGGUGCGGGAGGACGGCCUUCGGGUGGUAAACCGCUUUCGCCUGUGACGAAGCGUGAGUGACGGUAAUGGGUAAAGAAGCACCGGCUAACUACGUG